rnacentral:tRNA from 1 species
GGAGAGGUGGCCGAGCGGCUGAAGGCGGUAGUCUCGAAAACUACUGAGGGCUUUGUCCUCCGCGAGUUCGAAUCUCGCCCUCUCCGCCA